rnacentral:lncRNA from 1 species
UAUCCCUGCAAUAACCAGGAGACCAAGAGGACAAGAAGCCACUUUCCCAGCUCUUGGCUCAAGGAACACAUCAAUCAGCCAUGGUCUGGCAUGAAGAGAAUUGUAGAGAGCACCUCUCAUGACUCGAGAGAAUUGACAUCUGGUGUUAAAAACCAAAGAUCAUACAAGUGACUGAUAUGUAUCAUUUUCCUUAUUGAAUAUGGAAGAAAAGGGAGGAGGAUGCAGAAAUGGUAGGCUAAAAGCUCCAGAGAAAAACUUAACAGAUUUUAUGAUUUUGCAGGAGAUGUAUUAGCAAGACAGGCGUGGGGUAGAAUGGAGUAGCCAUGAACAUAGAGGAAAAGUGGAGAGAGUGAAAACAUUUUGGAGUGAAAAAACAUAGAUACAUUUAAGGGAGAAGAAAGAAAAAAUAAUAAAGCACAAUAUUUAAAGAGAAUAAAAUAAAACCAGAAAGAUACAGAGAGGGGAAAAAGAGCAGGCAACAAAUUAACAGGGAAAAGAAAGCACAACCAGAAAAAAAAAAGAAAAUGAAUUGCUUAUUGAUGAAUAAAGAAAGAGAGAAAAAGAAAAAUAAGAAAGGAGAUGGAGUAAGCACAUAGGAUCUCUAAACACCUGGCUCCAGGAGCCCAUCUGACCACAGUUCGGACUCCAGCCAUGC